AACAGUCUGUCUCUGUGAUUCACCUAAGAAACCUGCACUAACCUUACCACAAACUGGGAUUUCCUGAGGUGGUGGGGAUCUUAGAGAACCCUGUCACAUUCUUCAGGAUAGAAACAAGGAAAAUAAACAUUCAAAUGAUGGCAGACCAUGGUGACCCAUGCAACGAGUUAGAGGUUUCUUACUGCAUGAAUGGAGGAAAAUGCUUUAAAAUUUCAUUUAUGGAUACGCUUACUUGUCUCUGCAGUGAGAACUACAAAGGCAGUCGUUGUGAGCAGUACCAGCUGUUCACCACUGCACAUGAUGCAGGGGAGACAGGACUGGUCGCUGCUGUGGUCAUCAUUGUCCUUUUUAUUCUAGUCGUGUUGGUAGUAGUAAUCUACUACACCUGCAAGGUAUGGAAGGACAAAACAAAUAACCAGCAGAAAGGCAGUGAACAACAGUAUUGGAGAGUAGAGCCCAGAGUAUGAGGCCUGUUGUAUAUUGUUUUGGGGACAUCGGAUUGGAUAACAAAAUGUUUCAUGGACGGUGGUACGAUAUGGUGUGGGUCUGGAUGCUGCUGGAGAUGUGGCUAUGAAGGACCAGGAGGACAGAGGAGACUUAUACCCACAAACAUUCUGCAGCAAGCGUCAAACGUCAAGCUGUAGCCUGUUUGAGUGGCCAUCAAAAGCUGAAGCUACUGUAGACACAAAGACAGUCAGCCACAACACUUUUUCUCCAUACUGUGUGACUGGGUGUAGGACUGACUACAACCUGUUACAAUGGCUGCGUUUAGGCAGCCCAAUUCUAAUCGUUUUUUCACUAACUGGUCUUUUGACCAAUAAGAGAUCUGAAAAAGAUCUGUGAAAAAAUCUAAUUGUGAUUGGUCAAAAGACCAACUAGUGGAAAAAAAAUCUGAAUUUGGUUGCAUGUGUAAACGCAGCCAAUGUGUUUCAUUCCAAUGGCUAUUUUCAACUGACACACAAUACAUGCUUUUAAAGCUGGUGGAUGGAAUGGCAUGGAGUGAAACAUGAUGCCUCCACUCAAAGGAAUACUAUGACUGUAAAAUGUUUGCUUAGUCUAUGCUUUGAUUGACAGAAGUCAGUGAGUGUGUCGAAGUUCAAUUGUGAAUGUGCACUUUCUCUAAGCCUGUGAUACCAUAGAUUAGAGUAGAUUGGGGAAAUACUUUGAAUACUUCAUGUAGAAUUCACAUGCUUUUCUCAAUGUAUCAAUAAUGCAUCUAUUUGUUCAACUUGUAUACAAGUCAAACAUGAAGUGAGCAUUAGUUACAGUAAGCCUCUUGUAUUAUUGAAUGAAUGUUCAUGUGUAAUAUCACAAAUCACAAUAAUAAAUUGUACAUUACUUGUGAUUGCGUAUGAGGAAACAAGGUGUUGUCUUCAGUAAUCAAUGUCAAUAAAGACUAUUGAAGUGAUGUAAUUGA